CUUAUAAAAUAUAUAGAUUUAUAAUUAAGACUGAGCUAACAAAUGAGAAUCCUAGUCAUUGGCCAAUCAGCAUUUGUACCUAAUAUAAGUCUCAGUGUAUUAAUUGGGGCUUUAACUUGGCCGGCAGAACUCAGGAGGCUGGUGGAGACCGCCCACUUGGUGGUAGAGCUCGGGUGGCUUUUGGCGGAAAGAUUCAUCAUAACAUAGGGUAAUGCUUUAACCAUUUCAGAUAUGUGAGCAAAACAAAUCACUGCCAGUGUUUAGAGACAUGGAGAGAAAGCAAAGGCAAUGGAAAUGCUCUUAAUCAGGGCUUGCUGACUAGUCACUAAAGAGUCAUGCAAAGGUUAAUCAUACUGUUAAUCUUGAUGUAAACCACGAAAGAGUCAGUAGUCAAGGGCACAAAAUUAGACACAUUCUCAUUGUUACCACACUGUUACACGUUCUCAUGGCUACCACAUUGUGUAUGAACCAGCUGACCUCACAGCUUUCAUGGAAGGAGAAACUCACUAUAACCUAGCAAGGCAGGUGCAGAAUGUGUGUUUAAAUGUAGCCUUUUGCAUUACACAUUUACAAUUGUGGAAUUUAUAUAUUUAAUAGGAAUUAUGAUACAGAUAUUAACUCUAACUGAAUAGUAUUUGAUGAACUGGCUAUAAAACUACAUGAAAAAAAUAUUUGGAGAAUUCUUUAUUGGUAUCGAUAAAUUGAGUAUUGCUUUUCAAUCUUAGCACUAUACCUUUGAAUUUGAUAUAAAUGGUACUAAGUUGCUACAAGAGUUAGCAAAUUUAUUUAAUUUGCAUAGACAUAGUUGGGAAACAAAUAAAUUGUGGUUCGAAGUCAAAUCAACUCUUAAAAAAUGAUGAGCCAGUUUUAUCAGUGUAGGUAGAGAUAGUGAACUAAUAGUGAUUUGGUAGUUAACUUAGUUGCUAGAAAACUUCAUAUUUGAAGUGACUUGACAAUAUGGAUCUGUGGUUUUAAUAGUUAACCUUAUUAAAUCCAAUGACAUCAAUUAUUUUUGAUAAAAAUUUAGCAUCAAAAAGUGUGUUGUCAAUAUAAGAUAUACAUUGGACAUACAAAACUUAUAAAAAAAAGAAUGUAGGACACUUCAUUUUAAAAUAGGAAACUAAUUCAAAUGCAAAUUCUUGCUAUUUGGGUUAGAAAUCACCUAGGAAUAAUUAAUAGCUAUGAUGAGUCAGCGAUCAAUCACCUUUCAAUAUAUAGCUAUAUCAAAUAUCAUAUAGUAUAUAUGUGCACAUGUGUAUGUGUGUAACUUAUUAAGGGAUAAUUGACAAGUCAAAUUUAUAUUUGUUCAGUUUUAGAAAAUGAAUGGAGGGUAGGGCCAUUGGAGGUUGGCAAUAUAUAUAUAUAUAUUAGGCCUGCUGUUGAGGUGACUGAUGACUGACUCACUAUAACAUAAAUUAUUCCUAGGGCAUUUCUAACACUAAUGGUAAGAAUUUGCAUUUGGGUUACUGGACAGUAUUUCAAGUUCUAGGAGUAGGUUCCCAAAUUAUAUCAAAGCAAGGUCAACAGUGUUGGGCCUGACUUAUUGCAAAUUAAACUUUGGAAGCAGUGACCAUUGGCAGUCUCUAUGGAGUAUUCAUAGUAAAGAUAAAGUAACACACUUUAUUUUAGUAUAUAUGUAUUUAUCACAGUAAUGAUACUCCAUAAAAGUGAGUGGUUUAGGGUAAGAAGUAUUAGGUGAUUGACAUUAUUUAGUAACAGGAAAUAGAUUUGUCAUUUUCAUGUAGCUCCAGGGAAGAUUUUGUGUUUCAGUUAAGGUGUGCAUAUUCUAAAUCUGUAAAUGAACAUCUGUGAACUGGUGUCUACAAAAGGCCUCAGCUACGAACCAACUUUGACCUUCAUAAAAUUCAAGUUCUUCACGUCCAUGCCAAUGGAGUUUGAGACCUACAGAGGAAGGGUGUACUGUGUGACCCAGUUUUGGUAGGACAAAAUGCUCUCACUCAUGAUCUCUGAGCAUUCUCUAUUCUCCAUUCAUUUCCUGCUAUUCCUAGAGUAUAUCUCCUUGCUUGUAUUAAAAUUGCUUCACAAAUAUAAACCAUUCAAGUGUUGUGAGUUCUUUCAGCUAGGAUAUACUUAAGAUGACCAAAUAUGUAGUUCCUGUAACUAUUCUCGAUUAGUUCCUUCAACAAGGGGAGGGGAUACACCAGUAUAAGCUCUAUAAUCCACUUUUGCAUCCAUACAGUGAGAAUGGCUGAUGUUUGUCCCCAGAUUUCAAGGAGGCCAAGUAGGAUAGUUAAUCUUGUCAACUUCCUAAAUUUAGAACCGCCAUGGAAACACACCUCUGGGUGUGUCCAUGAGGUUGUUUCCUGGGACUGACUAACUGAGGAAGGAAGAAUUACCCUGAAAAUUGGAGGUAUUCUCCCAUGGGCUGGCAUCUCAAACUAAUCAAAAAGGAAAAAGUGAGUUGAGCACCAGCAUUCAUCUCUCUUUACCGUUUGGCUGUCGAUUCAACCUGAUCACCCACCUCAAGAUCCUGACAUGACACCUCACUCCCAUGGUGGACUAUAGCCCCUCAAAUCUUUCAUACAGAUGCCUUUAUGUAGGUGACUGGCAUAGAAUGGAGCUUUGUGUCUACCACCAGCAUAGAGCAGAGCUCCAUGUCUGCUCCUGGCACAGAGUGGACCUUGGUGUCUACCCCUGGCGUUGUCCAGAGAUUGGUGUCUACCCCAGCUUCCAAGUGUAGUCAUAGAGUUCCAGGAAGCAAAUUUCUAGGAGUUUCCUGUUUUACUCUCCUCUUCUAGCAGUCUCUUCAGAAUCUUAAGGACAUCACAUCUCUGAACUGCCUGAGUAGCUGUGUUGAAAGAUCUCCUUGAGUUUAUCUUGAGUUGAAAGUUAUAUUAUCACUUCCUGGGGUGGGCACCCAGCUUUACUUUUUUUUUUUUUUAAACUACGCCUAAGACUUGGAAACAGAUUAAAGGAGAAGAAAAAAAAUAGUAAAA